rnacentral:rRNA from 1 species
GGGUGAUCUGCCCUGCACUCUGGGAUAAGCCUGGGAAACUGGGUCUAAUACCGGAUAUGACCUUGGACUGCAUGGUUCUUGGUGGAAAGGUUUACUGGUGCAGGAUGGGCCCGCGGCCUAUCAGCUUGUUGGUGGGGUAAUGGCCUACCAAGGCGACGACGGGUAGCCGGCCUGAGAGGGCGACCGGCCACACUGGGACUGAGACACGGCCCAGACUCCUACGGGAGGCAGCAGUGGGGAAUAUUGCACAAUGGGCGAAAGCCUGAUGCAGCGACGCCGCGUGAGGGAUGAAGGCCUUCGGGUUGUAAACCUCUUUCAGCAGGGACGAAGCGAGAGUGACGGUACCUGCAGAAGAAGCACCGGCUAACUACGUGCCAGCAGCCGCGGUAAUACGUAGGGUGCGAGCGUUGUCCGGAAUUACUGGGCGUAAAGAGUUCGUAGGCGGUUUGUCACGUCGUUUGUGAAAACUCACAGCUCAACUGUGAGCCUGCAGGCGAUACGGGCAGACUUGAGUACUGCAGGGGAGACUGGAAUUCCUGGUGUAGCGGUGAAAUGCGCAGAUAUCAGGAGGAACACCGGUGGCGAAGGCGGGUCUCUGGGCAGUAACUGACGCUGAGGAACGAAAGCGUGGGUAGCAAACAGGAUUAGAUACCCUGGUAGUCCACGCCGUAAACGGUGGGCGCUAGGUGUGGGUUCCUUCCACGGGAUCUGUGCCGUAGCUAACGCAUUAAGCGCCCCGCC